rnacentral:rRNA from 1 species
UACGAAGGGUGCAAACGUUGCUCGGAAUUAUUGGGCGUAAAGCGCACGUAGGUGGUCCACUAAGUCGAGUGUGAAAUCCCCCGGCUCAACCGGGGAAUUGCGCUCGAUACUGGCGGGCUAGAGGUCGAUAGGGGUGAGCGGAACUCCAGGUGGAGCGGUGAAAUGCGUAGAUAUCUGGAGGAACACCGGUGGCGAAAGCGGCUCACUGGAUCGAAACUGACACUGAGGUGCGAAAGCUAGGGUAGCAAACGGG